UCCCAGGCGGUAGUGGGGGCAGCCCUUUCCCAAGGCGGUAGCGGGGGUGGUGUCGCUGUUGCCCUUUUAAGCCGCGGGGCAGCCGUCUCCUGCCGGUGGAGUCAGUUACAAAGGGAGCAGCCGCCCAGGCCGCCACACAGCCCCUCGCCAUUUUCCAGCCCCGACCGACGCGGGCCGGGGCGGCGGGGAGAGGCGGAGCCGCGAGAGCGCGGCCCGGGCCGGCCCCGCGGGGCGGUCGCGGCCGUGACGGCGGCUCCGGGCCCGGCUCCCCUUCCGCACCCCUCCCGCCGGAGAUGAGGGGAAGAUGUCCGUGUCAGGGCUCAAGGCCGAGCUGAAGUUCCUGGCGUCCAUCUUCGACAAGAACCACGAGAGAUUCCGCAUCGUCAAUUGGAAGCUGGACGAGCUGAAUUGCCAGUUCCUGGUGCCGCCACCGGCGCCGCCGGGCAGCCCUCACUCCCCGCCGCCGCCGCUCACACUCCACUGCAAUAUCACGGAAUCUUAUCCAUCUUCUUCACCAAUAUGGUUUGUGGACUCUGAUGACCCAAAUCUGACAUCAGUUCUGGAACGUCUAGAAGACACUAAGAACAACAAUUCGCUUCGUCAGCAGUUGAAGUGGUUGAUAUGUGAACUCUGCAGAUUAUAUAACCUUCCUAAGCACCUGGAUGUUGAGAUGCUAGAUCAGCCACUACCCACGGGUCAGAAUGGGACAGCAGAAGAAGUGACUUCAGAAGAGGAGGAAGAGGAAGAGAUGGCUGAAGAUAUAGAAGACUUAGAUCAUUAUGAAAUGAAGGAAGAAGAGCCUAUUAGUGGGAAAAAGUCAGAGGAUGAAGGAAUUGAAAAAGAAAAUUUGGCAAUAUUAGAGAAAAUUAGGAAGACUCAAAGGCAAGACCAUCUAAAUGGUGCAGUGUCUGGGUCUGUACAAGCUUCAGAUAGACUUAUGAAAGAGCUCAGGGACAUAUACAGAUCACAGAGUUAUAAAACAGGGAUUUAUUCAGUGGAACUCAUAAAUGACAGUUUAUAUGACUGGCAUGUUAAACUGCAGAAGGUUGAUCCUGAUAGUCCUUUGCACAGUGAUCUUCAGAUCUUAAAAGAAAAAGAAGGCAUAGAAUAUAUUUUGCUUAACUUCUCUUUUAAGGGGACACGGGUUCAAGCCCUGGUCUGGGAAGAUCCCACAUGCCGUGGAGCAACAAAGCCUGUGUGCCAUAACUACCGAGCCUGUGCUCUAGAGCCCGUGAGCCACAACGACUGAAGCCCGCGUGCCUAGAGCCCGUGCUACGCAACAAGAGAAGCCAAUGCAAUGAGAAGCCCGCGCACUGCAACCAAGAGUAGCCCCCCGCUCGCUGCAACUAGGGAAAGCCCGCAUGCAGCAAUGAAGACCCAAUGUAGCCAAAAAUAAAUAAAUUUAUAUAUAUAAAAACAAGGUGUUGUAGUCACUCAUUUGGGAUCACAUAUUUAAAGAUCUGAAAUAUAGAAAAUUAAAUGAAGUUGUACUUUACCAAGCUUUGCAUCUAUGCCUUUCUUUAUCUGUUAAGUUGUAGAUAAAAGGUAAGCUACUUAUUUGGAAGUAGAUUGUAAUAACUGUCAUUAAGCUAGUUUCUUGUGUGGGUAGAUUUCUUCUUUUUCUGCCUUGCAGUAGAUAGCUAAGAUUAUCUGUUUUAGCCGUCAGAAGUGUGCUUUUUUAUCUCCCUCUCCUAUUAGGAUUGAAUUUACAUAGUUUACAUGUUCCUCAGAAUCUUACUUGAGGAUGGGUAGUAAGGUACUGGAAUUAUCCUGGUUAUUUUUCCAGUUAAAACUGUAGUUUUGUGUUCCUUAGAAAUAACUGGAUGAAACAAAUGUUUGUUUAGCUCUUUUACUUGCAAAUUGAUUUUAUAAGAGGUGUUAGUUUCUUCUCAUUUAUUUGAACACAGAAAUCAGAAGUAAUUUCUCUUAGACUUCCUGACAUAUCUUCAUGGAGGCAGUAUGCUGUUUACUCUGCUCCUCUGUUGUAGGAAAGUGAGGCGUAGCCUUCUUGGCCUCCUGGCCACUAGAGACUGACCUCUAACACUCUUGGCUACUUCAGCUACCAUCUUUACUUCAGUUCAUUGAGAGAAAAAGUUUUAUUCUUUUGGAAACCUCAGUUUCCAGGACUGAAAAUUUGAAACAGAGAAUUGUGCAGCCAGAGAGUUAGCUGAGGUUCUGUUCUCUCAUCUUGCCAUUAUAUAUUUUUAUCAGGUCUGAUGAUCGUUGUCAGAUUAAUUGGAGCAAUUAUCUAUUUGCAUUUAAUGUUGGUAUUGCUAUUCGGGUUUAAAUCUGUCUCAUUUACUUGUCCUUGCUCCAUGCUUUUUUCCCCCACAUUCUUUUGGAUUUUUUUUUUUUUUUUUUUUUUUAUUACUCCAGUUUCCCACCUCUGUUAGCUUGGUGCUUAUCAUCCUUUACUCUGAUUUACUACCUUACAAUUAUAAUACAUAUACUUAGCUUGUCAAAGUAUAAUAUAAAUUUGUUAAUUUGUGUUUUUCCUUUUCCUUGUCAAGGCAAAGACCUUAGAACAUGUACACCCUGCCAAAUACGUGCUGUUGUUGUCAUGCAUUUAGUUCUAUAUUUAUCUAAAACCUUAUACAUUAUUGUUACAUAAUUCAUCAGUAUUCAUUUGGAUCUUUGUACAUAUUAGCUCUUUUCAUGGUCUUUAUUCUCCAGGUUUCCAUCUAGGAUCUUCCUUCUCUUGCGUGAAGAAUAUCCUUUUUUGUUUCCUUCAGUGUGGGUCUGCUUAUAGGAAAAUAUCUUUAUUUGGACUUCACUUUUGGAAAGUAUUUUUUUUAUAUAUAUAAUUUUCAGUACCCUAAAUUUUCUUCUUUUAAGAGGUGAAUUUUAUUUAUUUAUUUAUUUAUGUGUUUAUUUUUGGCUGUGUUGGGUCUUCGUUUCUGUGCGAGGGCUUUCUCUAGUUGCGGCAAGUGGGGGCCACUCUUCAUCGCGGUGCGCGGGCCUCUCACUCUCCCGGCCUCUCUUGUUGCGGAGCACAAGCUCCAGAUGCGCAGGCUCAGUAGUUGUGGCUCACGGGCCCAGUUGCUCUGCGGCAUGUGGGAUCUUCCCAGAACAGGGCUCGAACCCCUGUCCCCUGCAUUGUCAGGCAGACUCCCAACUACUGCGCUACCAGGGAAGCCCCUGGAAAGUAUUUUUAUUGUGUAUAGAUUUUUAGUUUGGAGAUUCCUUUCUUUCAGCACCUCAAAGAUAUCAUUCCCUUAUUAUAGCUUCCAUUGUUUCUCUUGAAGUAUUUAUAGUGCGUAAAUCUCACGAAACCUUUAAUCAGUUCUGGAAAAUUUUCAGACAUUAUCAGGCAUUAUCUCUUCAAAUAUUGCAUCUGUCCCAUUCCAGGACUCUACAUAUAUGAUUAGCCUUUUCAAUACAUUUCCCUAUGUCUUGUUUAUUAUCUGCAUUUUCCACAUUUUUCUCUCUCUUGGCUUCAUUUGGGAUGUUUUCUGACCUAUUUUUCUAGCAUACUGAAUUUCUCUUCCAAGUCUCCAUGGUGGUAAACUCAUCCAUUAAGUUAUUAAUUUCAGUAACUGUAUUUCUAAGCUUCAGAAUUCCUAUAUAGUUCAUUUUUAUAAUUUUAAUUUUCUGCCAAGGUUUUCAAUCUUGCCUUUUCUUACACAUACUCAGCAUAGUUAUUUUAAAAUCUGUGUCUGAUAACUCUCUUAUUUUGACCCCUUAUAGUUUUGUCUGUAGUUUGCUUCUUGUUUUCUGAUCAUGUUGUCUUUAAGUUUUUUUUUUGUUUUAAACAUCUUUAUUGAAGUAUAGUUGCUUUACAAUGUUGUGUUAGUUUCUGCUGUAUAACAAAGUGAAUCAAUUAUAUGUAUACAUAUAUCCCCAUAUCCCCUCCCUCUUGUGUCUCCCUCCCACCCUCCCUAUCCCACCCCUCUAGAUGGUCACAAAGCACCAAGCUGAUCUCCCUGUCCUAUGCAGCUGCUUCCCACUAGCUAGCUAUUUUACAUUUGGUAGUGUAUAUAUGUCAAUGCUACUCUCUCACUUCGUGCCAGCUUACCCUUCCCCCUCCCCGUGUCCUCAAGUCCAUUCUCUACGUCUGCGUCUUUAUUCCUGUCCUGCCCCUAGGUUCUUCAGAACCUUUUUUUUUUUUUUUAGAUUCCGUAUAUAUGUGUUAGCAUAUGGUAUUUGUUUUUCUCUUUCUGACUUACUUCACUCUGUAUGACAGACUCUAGGUCCAUCCACUUCACUACAAAUAACUCAAUUUCGUUUCUCGUUAUGACUGAGUAAUAUUCCAUUGUAUGUAUGUGCUGCAUCUUCUUUAUCCAUUCAUCUGUCGAUGGACACUUAGGUUGCUUCCAUGUCCUGGCUAUUGUAAAUAGUGCUACAGUGAACAUUGUGGUACAUGACUCUCUUUGUUUUUUUAAUAAAUUUAUUUAUUUAUUUAUGGUUGUGUUGGGUCUUCAUUGCUGUGUGCGGGCUUUCUCUGGUUGCUGCAAGCGGGGGCUACUCGUCAUUGUGGUAUGUGGGCUUCUCAUUGUGGUGGCUUCUCUUGUUGCGUAGCACGGACUCUAGGCACGCGGGCUUCAUUAGUUGUGGCACGUGGGCUCAGUAGUUGUGGCUCACAGGCUCUAGAGCGCAGGCUCAGUAGUUGGGGCACACAGGCUUAGUUGCUCCGUGGCAUGUGGGAUCUUCCCAGACCAGGGCUUGAACCCGUGUCCACUGCAUUGGCAGGCAGCUUCUUAACCAUUACGCUAUCAGAGAAGCCCAACAUGACUCUUUUUGAAUUUUCGUUUUCUCAAGGUAUAUGCCCAGUAGUGGGAUUGCUGGGUCGUAUGGUAGUUCUAGUUUUAGUUUUUUAAGGAACCUCCAUACUGUUCUCCAUAGUGGCUGUAUCAAUUUACAUACCCACCAACAGUGGAACAGGGUUCCCUUUUCUCCACACCCUCUCCAGCAUUUAUUGUUUGUAGAUUUUUUGUUGAUAGCCAUUCUGACCAGUGUGAGAUGAUACCUCAUUGUAGUUCUGAUUUAUAUUUCGCUAAUGAUUAAUGAUGUUGAGCAUCCUUUCAUGUGUUUGUUGGCAAUCUGUAUAUCUUCUUUGGAGAAAUGUCUAUUUAGGUCUUCUGCCCAUUUUUGGAUUGAAUUGUUUGUUUUUUUGAUAUUGUGCUGCAUGAGCUGCUUGUAUAUUUUGGAGAUUAAUUCUUUGUCAGUUGCUUUGUUUGCAAAUAUUUUCUCCCAUCCUGAGGGCUGUCUUUUCUUCUUGUUUAUGGUAUCCUUUGCUUUUUUUUUUUUUUAACAUCUUUAUUGGAGUAUAAUUGCUUUACAAUGGUGUGUUAGUUUCUGCUUUAUAACAAAAUGAAUCACUUAUACAUAUACAUAUGUUCCCAUAUCUCUUCCCUCUUGCGUCUCCCUCCCUCCCACCCUCCCUAUCCCACUCCUCUAGGUGGUCACAAGCACCGAGCUGAUCUCCCUGUGCUAUGCGGCUGCUUCCCACUAGCUAUCUAUUUUACGUUUGGUAGUGUAUAUAUGUCCAUGCCUCUCUCUCGCUUUGUCAUAGCUUACCCUUCCCCUUCCCCAUAUCCUCAAGUCCAUUCUGUAGUAGGUCUGUGUCUUUAUUUCUGCCUUACCCCUAGGUUCUUCAGGACAUUUUUUUUUCUUAAAUUACAUAUAUAUGUGUUAGCCUACGGUAUUUGUCUCUCUCUUUCUGACUUCACUCUGUAUGACAGAUUCUAGGACCAUCCACCUCAUUACAAACAGCUCAAUUUCGUUUCUUUUUAUGGCUGAGUAAUAUUCCAUUGUAUAUAUGUGCCACAUCUUCUUUAUCCAUUCAUCCGAUGAUGGACACUUAGGUUGCUUCCAUGUCCUGGCUAUUGUAAAUAGAGCUGCAAUGAACAUUUUGGUACAUGACUCUUUUUGAAUUAUGGUUUUCUCAGGGUAUAUGCCCAGUAGUGGGAUUGCUGGGUCAUAUGGUAGUUCUAUUUUUAGUUUUUUAAGGAACCUCCAUACUGUUCUGCAUAGUGGCUGUACCAAUUCACAUACCCACCAGCAGUGCAAGAGUGUUCCCUUUUCUCCACACCCUCUCCAGCAUUUAUUGUUUCUAGAUUUUUUGAUGAUGGCCAUUCUGACUGGUGUGAGAUGAUAUCUCAUUGUAGUUUUGAUUUGCAUUUCUCUAAUGAUUAAUGAUGUUGAGCAUUCUUUCAUGUGUUUGUUGGCAGUCUGUAUAUCUUCUUUGGAGAAAUGUCUAUUUAGGUCUUCUGCCCAUUUUUGGAUUGGGUUGUUUGUUUUUUGAUAUUGAGCUGCAUGAGCUGCUUAUAAAUUUUGGAGAUUAAUCCUUUGUCAGUUGCUUCAUUUGCAAAUAUUUUCUCCCAUUCUGAGGGCUGUCUUUUGGUCUUGUAUAUGGUUUCCUUUGCUGUACAAAAGCUUUGAAGUUUCAUUAGGUCCCAUUUGUUUAUUUUUGUUUUUAUUUCCAUUUCUCUAGGAGGUGGGUCAAAAAGGAUCUUGCUGUGAUUUAUGUCAUAGAGUGUUCUGCCUAUGUUUUCCUCUAAGAGUUUUAUAGUGUCUGACCUUAUAUUUAGGUCUUUAAUCCAUUUUGAGUUUAUUUUUGUAUACGGUGUGAGGGAAUAUUCUAAUUUCAUUCUUUUACAUGUAGCUUUCCCAGUUUUCCCAGCACCACUUAUUAAAGAGGCUGUCUUUUCUCCAUUGUAUAUUCUUGCCUCCUUUAUCAAAGAUAAGGUGACCAUAUGUGCGUGGGUUUAUCUCUGGGCUUUCUAUCCUGUUCCAUUGAUCUAUAUUUCUGUUUUUUGCCAGUACCAUAUUGUCUUGAUUACUGUAGCCUUAUAGUAUAGUCUGAAGGCAGGGAGUCUGAUUCCUCCAGCUCUGUUUUUUUUCCUCAAUAUUACUUUGGCUAUUUGGGGUCUUUUGUGUCUCCAUACAAAUUUUAAGGUUUUUUUUUUGUU